GGAAGGUUUCUAAAAGAUUAAGCGAGAUACCUACCUUUUAUACGAUUUAUUUUACUCGCUCAUCUGGUUCCAUUUGUCAUGUCCGUUGUAAGUAACUUACCUACUAUACUGUACCGAUCCAUUUCACAAAACUUCUGCAGUAGUCUCUUACUACAAACGUUGUUACACAAGAAGUAAUUAUUACUACACGAGGCGAAGCCGAGUGGAGCAAUAAUCAAGAGUUAUAUUUAUAUUAUAUGGACUUGUACAGUAGUAAGAAGAUUCCCUCAAGGUGGGGUGCUGUUAGCACUUCUGUAGAACAUCCCAUAGCCUGCCCUGCCGUCUUAACGAUAAUGGUUACCAUACGUUGGGGUAUGCUACUAACCCGUAGGUGUGAGAAGACACUUCGCAAUCUUAUGCAAAGGUCCCUCUGCCAAGGUUUUUUUUACUACUGCGAGAUCUUGCGGAUCUCCUCACCACCUACCGUAUCAGUUGUGACAUAAAAAUUUCCGUACCAUUCCGCCAAGACUACUGCACCGCCUGUCGACUACUGCAGUUGAUUUGUAAAGUAAAAUGUAAU